rnacentral:piRNA from 1 species
UGGUGUUUGCUUGUCUUGCUGUUCUUGAG